rnacentral:rRNA from 1 species
UACGGAGGAGGCAAGCGUUAUCCGGAAUUAUUGGGCGUAAAGCGUCCGUAGUUGGUUUUGUCAGUCUGCUGUCAAAGCACAGGGCUUAACCCUGUAAAGGCAGUGGAAACUACAAGACUAGAGUGCAGUAGGGGCAGAGGGAAUUCCCAGUGUAGCGGUGAAAUGCGUAGAGAUUGGGAAGAACAUCCGUGGCGAAAGCGCUCUGCUGGACUGCAACUGACAUUGAGGGACGAAAGCUAGGGGAGCGAAUGGG